rnacentral:rRNA from 1 species
UACGUAGGGGGCUAGCGUUGUCCGGAAUCAUUGGGCGUAAAGCGCGCGUAGGUGGCCAUGUAAGUCCGCUGUGAAAGUCAAAGGCUCAACCUUUGAAAGCCGGUGGAUACUGCAUGGCUAGAGUACGGAAGAGGCGAGUGGAAUUCCUGGUGUAGCGGUGGAAUGCGCAGAUAUCAGGAGGAACACCAAUAGCGAAGGCAGCUCGCUGGGACGUUACUGACACUGAGGCGCGAAAGCGUGGGGAGCGAACAGG